CCUACGGGUGGCAGCAGUGGGGAAUAUUGGUCAAUGGGCGCAAGCCUGACCCAGCAACGCCGCGUGAAGGAUGAAGGCUUUCGGGUUGUAAACUUCUUUUUUCAGGGACGAAGCAAGUGACGGUACCUGACGAAUAAGCCACGGCUAACUACGUGCCAGCAGCCGCGGUAAGACGGAGGGGGCAAGCGUUAUCCGGAUUUAUUGGGUGUAAAGGGCGUGUAGGCGGGAGUGCAAGUCAGAUGUGAAAACUAUGGGCUCAACCCAUAGCCUGCAUUUGAAACUGGAUGUCUUGAGUGCUGGAGAGGUAAGCGGAAUUCGGGGUGUAGCGGUGAAAUGCGUAGAUAUCAGGAGGAACACCAAUGGCGAAGGCAGAUUGCUGGACUGUAACUGACGCUGAGGCGCGAAAGCGUGGGGAGCAAACAGGAUUAGAUACCCUAGUAGUC
rnacentral:rRNA from 1 species